UGAAUACGAGACGCUAAGGCGUCGAAGUAGUGUAUAUCAGACUUCCAAGAAAAGCUUGCACUGUCAUAGAUAAAAAAUGCCUGUACCAUAACCGACACAGGUGGGUAGGUAGAGUAUACUAAGGGGCGCGAGAUAACUCUCUCUAAGGAACUCGGCAAAAUAACUCCGUAACUUCGGGAGAAGGAGUGCCUUAUUUAUAAGGUUGCAAUAACAAGAUCCAAGCAACUGUUUAUCAAAAACACAGGUCUCCGCUAAGUCGUAAGACGAUGUAUGGGGGCUGACGCCUGCCCAGUGCCAGAAGGUUAAAGAAGUUGGUUAGCAAUUGCGAAGCUGAUAACUGAAGCCCUGGUGAACGGCGGCCGUAACAAUAACGGUCCUAAGGUAGCGAAAUUCCUUGUCGGGUAAGUUCCGACCCGCACGAAAGGCGUAAUGAUUUGGAUACUGUCUCGGAGAGGGGCUCGGUGAAAUAGACUUGUCUGUGAAGAUGCAGACUACCUGCACCAGGACAGAAAGACCCUAUGAAGCUUUACUGUAACUUGAAAUUGAAAUUGGACUUUAUUCGCGCAGCAUAGGUGGGAGGCGUUGAUUAUAAUCUUGCGGGAUUAUUGGAGCCAUCAGUGAGAUACCACUCUUGUAAUGUUAGAUUUCUAACUUUGAAUCAUUAUCUGGUCAAAGAACAGUUUCAGGCGGGCAGUUUGACUGGGGCGGUCGCCUCCUAAAUGGUAACGGAGGCGUACAAAGGUUUCCUCUGAACGGUUAGAAAUCGUAUCUAGAGUGUAAAGGCAUAAGGAAGCUUGACUGUGAGACCUACAAGUCGAGCAGGGACGAAAGUCGGUCUUAGUGAUCUGACGGCACUGAGUGGAAAGGCCGUCACUCAACGGAUAAAAGUUACUCUAGGAUAACAGGCUGAUCUCCCCCAAGAGUUCACAUCGACGGGGAGGUUUGGCACCUUGAUGUCGGCUCAUCGCAUCCUGGGGCGGUAGUACGUCCCAAGGGUUGGGCUGUUCGCCCAUGAAAGCGGUACGCGAGCUGGGUUCAGAACGUCGUGAGACAGUUCGGUCCAUAUCCGGUGUAGGCGUUAGAAUAUUGAGAGGAGCCUUCUUUAGUACGAGAGGACCGAGAAGGACAUACCUCUGGUGUACCAGUUAUCGUGCCAACGGUAAACGCUGGGUAGCUAUGUAUGGAGUGGAUAACCGCUGAAAGCAUCUAAGUGGGAAGCCCACCUCAAGAUAAGUAUUCU
rnacentral:rRNA from 1 species